UACGUAGGCAGCGAGCGUUGUUCGGAAUUACUGGGCGUAAAGAGUGUGUAGGCGGUGCUCUAAGUUCGGUGUGAAAUCUCCUGGCUUAACUGGGAGGGUGCGCCGGAAACUGGGGUGCUCGAGCGUGGGAGAGGAAAGCGGAAUUCCUGGUGUAGCGGUGAAAUGCGUAGAUAUCCGGAGGAACACCAAAGGCGAAGGCAGUGUCCUGGGGAGUACCUGACGCUCAGGUGCGAAAGCCAGGGGAGCGAACGGG
rnacentral:rRNA from 1 species